rnacentral:rRNA from 1 species
AGAGUUUGAUCCUGGCUCAGAACGAACGCUGGCGGCGUGCCUGAGACAUGCGAGUCGUGGGAGAAAGUCGGGGCAACCCGGCGAGUAAACCGGCGCACGGGUGAGUAACACGUGGAUAACCUGCCCUGGAGACUGGGAUAACCCGUCGAAAGACGGACUAAUACCAGAUAAGACCACGGACAGUUCGCUGUCCGAGGUAAAAGGUGGCCUCUGCUCCUGCAAGCUACCACUCCGGGAGGGGUCCGCGGCCUAUCAGCUAGUUGGCGGGGUAAUGGCCCACCAAGGCAAAGACGGGUAGCUGGUCUGAGAGGAUGGUCAGCCACACUGGGACUGAGACACGGCCCAGAGUCCUACGGGAUGCAGCAGUCAGGAAUAUUGCGCAAUGGAGGAAACUCUGACGCAGCGACGCCGCGUGGGUGAUGAAGGCCUUCGGGUCG